CAGCUGAAUCAGUCCUAGUUGUUGAUUAGUUCUGCAAGUAAGAACACCCAGUUCUUUGGAAGUUAGUGCUCUUCUUGUAAUUUGAGCCACAAGGUUUCUCUACAGCCAGUCGGGACAGGAGCAGUUAUUCUGUGGUAUCUAUUGGGAAACCUCAAGAGAAAGAAAAUGGGAACCUCUAAAUGCAAAUUCAACUAUGACUGGACCAACCACAGGAAUUGACCAGUAGAAUAUGGUAGAAGUGAGUUUGUGCCAGACCUUCAGAGAUCUGUAGCUUCCACGUCCACCUUUCCUG